GGUGAACGCUGGCGGCGUGCCUAAGACAUGCAAGUCGAGCGGGGCAGGUUUAUCCCUGUUCAGCGGCGGACGGGUGAGUAACGCGUGGGUGACCUACCCGGAAGAGGCGGACAACCUGGGGAAACCCAGGCUAAUCCGCCAUGUGGUCCUGUCCUGUGGGGCAGGACUAAAGGGUGGAUAGCCCGCUUCCGGAUGGGCCCGCGUCCCAUCAGCUAGUUGGUGGGGUAAAGGCCCACCAAGGCGACGACGGGUAGCCGGUCUGAGGGGAUGGCCGGCCACAAGGGGACCUGGGAACUGGGCCCACGCCCAGGGGAGGCAGGCAGGAAGGAGUCUCCGAAAUUGGACGAAGGCCGGACGAGUGACGCCGCUUUGAGGAGGAAGCCCUGCGGGGUGUAAACUCCUGAACUGGGGACGAAAGCCCUGUGUAGGGGGAGGACGGUACCCAGGUAAUAGCGCCGGCCAACUCCGUG
rnacentral:rRNA from 1 species